rnacentral:rRNA from 1 species
CGGGGUCGGGCUUCUAAACGUUUACUGUGAAAAAAUCAGAGUGUUCAAAGCAGGCUUACGCCUUGAAUACAUUAGCAUGGAAUAAUGAGAUAAGACUUUGGCGGUCUAUUUUGUUGGUUUGCACGCCGAAGUAAUGAUUAACAGGGACGGUUGGGGUUCUUCGUAUUCAAUUGUCAGAGGUGAAAUUCUUGGAUUUAUGGAAGACGAACUGCUGCGAAAGCGUCGAACAAGGACGUUCUCAUUAAUCAAGAACGAAAGUUAGGGGAUCGAAGAUGAUUAGAUACCAUCGUAGUCUUAACC